rnacentral:rRNA from 1 species
CGAAUUUACCACCUAUCAGGUAUUGAAGGUAGUGUAGUGGACUACCUUGCCUCUGACGGGUAACGGGGGAUUGGGGUUCGAUUCCGGAGAGGGUGCCUGAGAGACGGCAACCAUGACUAUGGUCACUAUUGGAGGGCAAGUCUGGUGCCAGCAGCCGCGGUAAUUCCAGCUCCAAGAGCGUAUAUAAAUGUUGUUGCGGUUAAAAAGCCCGUAGUUGGAUUUGAGGAUGCUUCUUGUAUUCGACAUGUUGAAGGGGUUUCCUGGAUAUGUGUCGAGUACGCUUCGGAGGUAUCCUGACAUAUGCGGGAUUGUCCACUGGCCGAAGCUUCCUUAACUGGUAGCUGAAGCAACUUCGGAGCUUCCUCGCCGGGAUCAAUAGGAGCACAGGGGGUCAUGAGUACUGGAGGGCUAGAGGUGAAAUUCCAAGACCCCUCCAAGACUGACAUCGGCGAAAGCACUCGACUAUUGUGCUUUCAUUAAUCAAGGACGAGAGAUAGGGGAUCGAAGAGGAUUAGACACCCUCGUAGUCCUUUCUGUAAAUUCUGCAGACUUGGGAUCGGUCAGCGUUCUACUUUUUGACCUGAUCGGCACCUUCCUCCGACAUCGAGAAAUCAAAGUCUUUGUGUUCCGGGGGGAGUACAUUCGCAAGGCUGAAACUUAAAGGAAUUGACGGAGAACCACCACCAGUCGUGGAGUGUGUGGCUUAAUUCGACUCAACACGGGAAAUUUUACCAGGCCAGGACGUGGCGAGGAUUGCCAGAUUGAAAGCUCUUGCAUGAUUCCGCGGAGGGUAGUGCAUGGCCGCUUCUGGUUGGUGAAGUGAUUUGUCUGCUUAAUUGCGAUAACGAACGAGAUCUCUGCCAAUUACUAGACAGCGCGUUCACUUUUCAGUCGGAAGCUUGGGUGUGGGUUCGCCCAUCCUCCAGCUCUCCGGUUGAGAACGAGCUGCUUUACUUAUUGGGAUUAUGCAUUUUUCAACUGCAUUGAAACGAGAGCCCAAAGCAGGUCUGUGAUGCUCCUAAAUGUUCUGGGCUGCACGCGCACUACACUGAUUCAGCCAACGAGCAUCUGCCUUCAUGGCAGCCUGGGCCGAACGGUCUGGGGAAUCUUUUGAGCCUGAGUCGUGAUGGGGAUUGAUGAUUGCAAUUAUUCUCCAUGAACAAGGAAUGUCUUGUAGGCGCGUUUCAUCAGAACGCACCGAAUACGUCCCUGGUUCUUGUACACACCGCCCGUCGUUGC